GUCGAACGGUAACAGGAUGUGCUUGCACAUCGCUGACGAGUGGCGGACGGGUGAGUAAUGCUUGGGAACUUGCCUUUGCGAGGGGGAUAACAGUUGGAAACGACUGCUAAUACCGCAUAAUGUUUUCGAACCAAACGGGGCUUCGGCUCCGGCGCAAAGAGAGGCCCAAGUGAGAUUAGCUAGUUGGUAAGGUAACGGCUUACCAAGGCGACGAUCUCUAGCUGUUCUGAGAGGAAGAUCAGCCACACUGGGACUGAGACACGGCCCAGACUCCUACGGGAGGCAGCAGUGGGGAAUAUUGCACAAUGGGGGAAACCCUGAUGCAGCCAUGCCGCGUGUGUGAAGAAGGCCUUCGGGUUGUAAAGCACUUUCAGUUGUGAGGAAAAGUUAGUAGUUAAUACCUGCUAGCCGUGACGUUAACAACAGAAGAAGCACCGGCUAACUCCGUGCCAGCAGCCGCGGUAAUACGGAGGGUGCGAGCGUUAAUCGGAAUUACUGGGCGUAAAGCGCACGCAGGCGGUUUGUUAAGCUAGAUGUGAAAGCCCCGGGCUCAACCUGGGAUGGUCAUUUAGAACUGGCAGACUAGAGUCUUGGAGAGGGGAGUGGAAUUCCAGGUGUAGCGGUGAGAUGCGUAGAUAUCUGGAGGAACAUCAGUGGCGAAGGCGACUCCCUGGCCAAAGACUGACGCUCAUGUGCGAAAGUGUGGGUAGCGAACAGGAUUAGAUACCCUGGUAGUCCACACCGUAAACGCUGUCUACUAGCUGUGUGUGCCUUUAAGGCGUGCGUAGCGAAGCUAACGCGCUAAGUAGACCGCCUGGGGAGUACGGCCGCAAGGUUAAAACUCAAAUGAAUUGACGGGGGCCCGCACAAGCGGUGGAGCAUGUGGUUUAAUUCGAUGCAACGCGAAGAACCUUACUUACACUUGACAUGCAGAGAACUUUCUAGAGAUAGAUUGG
rnacentral:rRNA from 1 species